UCGGGAAUUUUGGGCAAUGGGGGCAACCCUGACCCAGCAACGCCGCGUGAGGGAUGAAGGCCUUCGGGUCGUAAACCUCUGUCAGGAGGGAAGAACGUGCGCCGGGCAAAUAGUCCGGUGAGCUGACGGUACCUCCAAAGGAAGCGCCGGCUAACUCCGUGCCAGCAGCCGCGGUAAUACGGAGGGCGCAAGCGUUGUUCGGAAUCAUUGGGCGUAAAGCGCGUGUAGGCGGCUUGGCAAGUCGGGUGUGAAAUCCCGGGGCUCAACCCCGGAACUGCAUUCGAAACUGCCUCGCUAGAGUCCCGGAGAGGAAGGCGGAAUUCCCGGUGUAGAGGUGAAAUUCGUAGAUAUCGGGAGGAACACCAGUGGCGAAGGCGGCCUUCUGGACGGUGACUGACGCUGAGACGCGAAAGCGUGGGGAGCAAACAGGAUUAGAUACCCCCGUAGUCC
rnacentral:rRNA from 1 species